rnacentral:rRNA from 1 species
GACGAACGCUGGCGGCGUGCUUAACACAUGCAAGUCGAACGGUAAGGCUCUGCUUUGCUCGGGUGCUCGAGUGGCGAACGGGUGAGUAACACGUGAGCAACCUGCCCCUGACUCUGGGAUAACUUCAGGAAACUGCUGCUAAUACCGGAUAUGCACCAUUGCCGCAUGGUGUGGGGUGGGAAGUUUUGGGCGGUUGGGGAUGGCCUCGCGGUCUAUCAGCUUGUUGUUGGGGUAUUGGCUCACCAAGGCGUCGACGGGUAGCCGGCCUGAGAGGGUGACCGGCCACACUGGGACUGAGACACGGCCCAGACUCCUACGGGAGGCAGCAGUGGGGAAUAUUGCACAAUGGGCGGAAGCCUGAUGCAGCAACGCCGCGUGCGGGAUGACGGCCUUCGGGUUGUAAACCGCUUUUGGCUGGGAAGAAGCGAGAGUGACGGUAAUGGGAGAAGAAGCACCGGCUAACUACGUG